UAGGCAAUAGAGCAAGACUCUGUAUCAAAAAAGAGAGAGGGCACGGAGGAAAUUAUUAUACACCGUGGGUAGCAGUUUGGCAUUCCUAAAUCCCCAUACUCUCCCAUCCAGCAAUUCCACCUGCGGGUACCCAUCCUUGAGAAAUGCUCACAUGGGCACAUAGAGGUGUGUGGGAAGGAUGUUCUCCGCCACACUGCGUCUGACAAGGAAAAACUGGAAACAAUCUAUGGAAUCUUACAUAACCAUGGAAUUUACAGAGCAAGUAGAAAGAAUAGGUAGAUCUCUACAUACUGACAAAAAAUUCCAAGACCCGUUUUUAAGCAUAAAACGUCAAGUUAUGUAAUGCAUAAAACAUACGUAUUUGUAAAAGUUUAAGGCGAAAUCUUACAAACAUAUAUCAUAACGUGCACACACUUGUCAAAUAAAUGCAAAGAAAAAUACACACAAACUGACAACAGUUCUUAUUUUGUGAGAAAGGGACUGGUAAAGAAAAAAGGGAGGAGACGGAAAAAAAAAAUCAAAGAGGAUCUGUCUUCCACACUCCCCACCCUCACCACCAAGGAGAACAUAAAGCUAAGAAAGAUUUGUCUUGUUUAAAAUUGUUACAUAAUUUUGUUACAAGACUUUAUGCACAGACUAUAACUAGAAUAUUUUUAAAAUACAUUUUUAAAACAAGCUCAACUUUACCAAAUUUAAUCCAUCUUCCUCCCUGCGCCCCGACCCGCACUUUCUAAUUCCUAUGACUAACAAAACCUUUCAAUUCCUUCUAUCCUUGUAACAGAACUAAAAAAAAAAGUAUAAUUUCAAUUUUGUGUUUUUGAGGAGAGGGUAUAUAAAGGAGUUUGAAUGUUUUAAUCAUAUCAAAAGCCUAUCAAAAGCUUAUCGAGGGAUGGGUUUGUUUGUAUUUUAAGGAGCAGGUGUCAAUUUUAUAAUAAGUAUUGAUUAAGGUUCUUAGUUUUGAUCCAUUCCAGGGAUGUGAAAAACCAAAGAGGUGGCUCCCGGCAAGACCCAGAGCAGGGUGUGGUCUGGGAGGACAGGGAUGGUAGCGGGGGUGGCGGCUCACACGCAUUCAGGGGAGAAAACAGCAGCAGUGGCCGCGUCGAACUCGCAGCGCCCGAGGAGCUACCAGGUGCCGCGGGCGGGGCCUCCUUUUUAGCUGAUUGGGACACGCAGCCUCGAAGGCCUGGAGGACGUAAUCCCAGCUGGGGUCUGGGAACGGGCAACGCCAUCUUGUACGGAAGCUCCUGGGGCAGGUGAUGCCUACCCAGUCUGUCUCCUCUGUUGAACAAAGAAUCUGUUAAAAUUGGAAGGGCUUAACGUCUUCAGAAAAGUGACGCAUUUGUUUCUGGGAUGGUAAGGUUCAGCAAAGUCUAUGUCAUUCUCUAAUCCUUUUGAUCCAGCGGAUUCUUUGGAGGAAUUUAAAUACAUACUGGAUUUUGCAACCAGGUUUGCAAGAGGAAAAUGCAAAGGUGACUUCUGGGCCUGUUGCCGGGGGAGGGUAGGGGAUGGACAGCUGACAUCUAGUCACAGAGGAAAGAACACAGAAAGAGAUCUCCAGUUAAAGCCGAUAGAUUGAACCACACACAACCCACCUCCUUCUAAAAUCCCUGUAGAACAAUGGUUUAAAAAAGCACUUUAACAUAAAACUUCAAAAUCAAAAAGAUAAGGAAAAUGAUGAAAACCACUCAGGUAAGAAGAGAGGAUAUUUAUGCCGAGGCUGCUGUCAUUAGGAGUCCGCCAACAUGCCACCAUACUUUGGUGAGACUUGAAGGCAGGCAGGGAGUGGAAACACUUUAUGCUGUAGUGAAAAAAGGGGAAGGCUUCAGUAUACUCUGACUGGAGGUCACUGUCAUGGGGAAACUGCAGGUGGGCUAACUAGAAGCUGGGCUUCUUGUGUAAUGGUUUGGCUUUCUCUGGUUGGUCCUGUGUUGAAAAUAGGGGCAAAAUAUAGGGCAACUGACUCAUUGACCAAGCCGUGCCCAGGCUGGCCGAUUGCGGAGGUUGUGGGUCAGAGUUCUGUUGUCAUAUAUGGUCUGGCUACUGUCUGUUUAUAUAAUCCGUCUGUCAGAGAACAGUAGAGGAGAUCAAAUUAUUACCAUUUUGGAAGCUGGAAAGCAGGAUAGUGCGAACUGAAUUAGCAGACUUGCCCUCUAUCAAAGGGGAUGGCCAAAAGCAAGCCAGAUUUGCCCCAGAAAACCACCAAAAGUUCAAGAAUUGGCAGCACCAGGUACCCCCAGAAGCAGGGAUAAAGUGGGGGCUUGAAUUGGACAGUUGGUUCAAAGUCUAUUUCAGAAGCAUUAGAACACUGGAUUCCUUCCCCAGCUCCCAAAUGACUGCCUGGUGCAAGACUCAGGACUGAUUCCCUGGAGAGGGUAAAGCAGAGGGUUCUUUGUCUAGUUAAGGAUGGGGUGCCAUAACAAACAUGCCCAUUCAGUGAAAAUACCUACUUUCAAGACUUCUGCUUGACUCCCCUAAAUCAGCAGCCAAUGUUAGAAGCCAAGUGUUAAAGUUUUUCGGAUAAUUUUGCUAUGAACCUAUAGGGAAAUUUCAUUACCAUCUCAUAGCAAGGCCUAUAGUAUAAGAGCAGGCCUAUAGUAGCAUAUGGGGGAAAGUCUGAAAGACUUUGAAAUGGACCAAAAGAUUAUUGAGAAAUGGAAAACUGCAUUGUUUUAAGUAUCCCCUUCCAGCUUAUCAGAUUCUGUGGGGUUUAUACCUUUCAUUGUCUUUGAGGUAUUUAACAAUUCUGAAGAGAUGGACUCUAACUUGUAGAAAACUAAGAGUAACAUAAAUAAUUAUUGUCUUUAGAUAUACAAAUAAAUUCUGUUCUGAGAAGUUUCUGUUGACUUCCCUUUCUCACUGUUCUAUUCAGAACAUUGAUUUCAGGUGGGGUGUAGAGGCUCAUGCCUAUAAUCCCUGCACUUUGGGAGGCCAAAGCAGGGGGAUUGCUUGAGCC